rnacentral:rRNA from 1 species
AACGAACGUUGGCGGCGUGGAUUAGGCAUGCAAGUCGAGCGCGAACCCCGCAAGGGGUGAAAGCGGCGCAAGGGAGAGUAACGCGUUGGUAUCUACCCUCGGGACUGGGAUAGCUGCAGGCAACUGCAGGCAAUCCCAGAUGACGUCCCCGGACCAAAGGUGUGCGUCCGCCGGAGGAUGAGCCCGCGUCCUAUUAGAGAGUUGGUGGGGUAGUGGCCUACCAAGGCAAUGAUGGGUACUGGGUGUGAGAGCACGACCCAGCUCACUGGGACUGAGACACUGCCCAGACACCUACGGGUGGCUGCAGUGGAGAAUCUUCGGCAAUGGGCGAAAGCCUGACCGAGCGACGCCGCGUGUGGGAUGAAGGCCUUCGGGUUGUAAACCGCUGUCAGAGGGGAGGAAUGGGCGGAGGGUAAUCUCUUCGUUUUGACCUAUCCUCAGAGGAAGUACGGGCUAAGUUCGUGCCAGCAGCCGCCGUAA